UAAUUGUUUCACAGGAUGGGCUUCAUAGAUGACAUUGUCAAACUGCAAUAUCGGAAGGCCGAGCACACCAGCUGGCCCUGGGGGAACCCUGCCAGCACCACUCUAGAUGCUCUGCGUCCCAGGGCAGAAAAGCCCCAACCUGCGGAGAUGCGCACAGAAAUGUUCCUCUUCAAGGUCACCAAGGACUCGAGUUCCGCUUUUGCUGGCAUUAGGAGUGCGUCAGUUUGAGGCUAUCCCAGCGUGCCUCUCUGAGCAGGUGUGUGUCUGGCAGUGCAUCAGAACAGCAGAGAGGUGGAAGGCAGGUAGCCUCCUUGCCUAAAGAAAUUCAUGAGGUU